UCGGGAAUUUUGGGCAAUGGGCGAAAGCCUGACCCAGCAACGCCGCGUGAAGGAUGAAGUAUUUCGGUAUGUAAACUUCGAAAGAAUAGGAAGAAUAAAUGACGGUACUAUUUAUAAGGUCCGGCUAACUACGUGCCAGCAGCCGCGGUAAUACGUAGGGACCAAGCGUUGUUCGGAUUUACUGGGCGUAAAGGGCGCGUAGGCGGCGACAUAAGACAGAUGUGAAAUCCCCGGGCUCAACCUGGGAACUGCGUUUGUGACUGUGUUGCUAGAGUGUAGCAGAGGGGGGUGGAAUUCCACGUGUAGCAGUGAAAUGCGUAGAGAUGUGGAGGAACACCGAUGGCGAAGGCAGCCCCCUGGGUUAACACUGACGCUCAUGCACGAAAGCGUGGGGAGCAAACAGGAUUAGAUACCCUUGUAGUCCCUGAGCGGGCUGGCAAGGCGCAU
rnacentral:rRNA from 1 species